GAUGAACGCUGGCGGCGUGCCUAAUACAUGCAAGUCGAGCGAACAGACGAGGAGCUUGCUCCUCUGACGUUAGCGGCGGACGGGUGAGUAACACGUGGAUAACCUACCUAUAAGACUGGGAUAACUUCGGGAAACCGGAGCUAAUACCGGAUAAUAUAUUGAACCGCAUGGUUCAAUAGUGAAAGACGGUUUUGCUGUCACUUAUAGAUGGAUCCGCGCCGCAUUAGCUAGUUGGUAAGGUAACGGCUUACCAAGGCAACGAUGCGUAGCCGACCUGAGAGGGUGUUCGGCCACACUGGAACUGAGACACGGUCCAGACUCCUACGGGAGGAACAAGUAGGGAAUCUUCCGCAAUGGGGGAAAGCCUGACGGAGCAACGCCGCGUGAGUGAUGAAGGUCUUCGGAUCGUAAAACUCUGUUAUUAGGGAAGAACAAAUGUGUAAGUAACUAUGCACGUCUUGACGGUACCUAAUCAGAAAGCCACGGCUAACUACGUG
rnacentral:rRNA from 1 species